rnacentral:rRNA from 1 species
ACCGGCAGCUCAAGUGGUGGCCAUUUUUAUUGGGCCUAAAGCGUUCGUAGCCGGUUUGAUAAGUCUCUGGUGAAAUCCCGCAGCUUAACUGUGGGACUUGCUGGAGAUACUAUUAGACUUGAGGUCGGGGGAGGUUAGGGGUACUCCCAGGGUAGGGGUGAAAUCCUAUAAUCCUGGGAGGAAGACCUGUGGCGAAGGCGCCUAACUGGGACGAACCUGCCGAUGAGUAACGAAAGCCAGGGGUGCGCGCCA